AGCAACAAAUGCCCUGCUUCCAGGAAAAGCCUCUAAGCAUCAGGUAACAUCAAAUCGUACCCCAAACCGACACAGGUGGUCAGGUAGAGAAUACCAAGGCGCUUGAGAGAACUCGGGUGAAGGAACUAGGCAAAAUGGUGCCGUAACUUCGGGAGAAGGCACGCUGACACGUAGGUGAAGUGAUUUACUCAUGGAGCUGAAGUCAGUCGAAGAUACCAGCUGGCUGCAACUGUUUAUUAAAAACACAGCACUGUGCAAACACGAAAGUGGACGUAUACGGUGUGACGCCUGCCCGGUGCCGGAAGGUUAAUUGAUGGGGUCAGCGCAAGCGAAGCUCCUGAUCGAAGCCCCGGUAAACGGCGGCCGUAACUAUAACGGUCCUAAGGUAGCGAAAUUCCUUGUCGGGUAAGUUCCGACCUGCACGAAUGGCGUAAUGAUGGCCAGGCUGUCUCCACCCGAGACUCAGUGAAAUUGAACUCGCUGUGAAGAUGCAGUGUACCCGCGGCAAGACGGAAAGACCCCGUGAACCUUUACUAUAGCUUGACACUGAACAUUGAGCCUUGAUGUGUAGGAUAGGUGGGAGGCUUUGAAGUGUGGACGCCAGUCUGCAUGGAGCCGACCUUGAAAUACCACCCUUUAAUGUUUGAUGUUCUAACGUGGACCCGUUACCCGGGUUGCGGACAGUGUCUGGUGGGUAGUUUGACUGGGGCGGUCUCCUCCUAAAGAGUAACGGAGGAGCACGAAGGUUGGCUAAUCCUGGUCGGACAUCAGGAGGUUAGUGCAAUGGCAUAAGCCAGCUUGACUGCGAGCGUGACGGCGCGAGCAGGUGCGAAAGCAGGUCAUAGUGAUCCGGUGGUUCUGAAUGGAAGGGCCAUCGCUCAACGGAUAAAAGGUACUCCGGGGAUAACAGGCUGAUACCGCCCAAGAGUUCAUAUCGACGGCGGUGUUUGGCACCUCGAUGUCGGCUCAUCACAUCCUGGGGCUGAAGUAGGUCCCAAGGGUAUGGCUGUUCGCCAUUUAAAGUGGUACGCGAGCUGGGUUUAGAACGUCGUGAGACAGUUCGGUCCCUAUCUGCCGUGGGCGCUGGAGAACUGAGGGGGGCUGCUCCUAGUACGAGAGGACCGGAGUGGACGCAUCACUGGUGUUCGGGUUGUCAUGCCAAUGGCACUGCCCGGUAGCUAAAUGCGGAAGAGAUAAGUGCUGAAAGCAUCUAAGCACGAAACUUGCCCCGAGAUGAGUUCUCCCUGAGACUUAAAGUCUCCUGAAGGAACGUUGAAGACGACGACGUUGAUAGGCCGGGUGUGUAAGCGCAGCGAUGCGUUGAGCUAACCGGUACUAAUGAACCGUGAG
rnacentral:rRNA from 1 species